rnacentral:rRNA from 1 species
AUGGCCGCCGCCACACUCCGCUCCGCCCUCCUCUCCUCCUGCGCCCUCCGCCGGCUCGCCUCCGCCUCCGCGCCGCGCGCCCCCCGCCUCACCCAGCCCAAGGUGCAGGGGUUCGCCCGGGCUCGCCGGUCCUACCCGGCCGCGUUCGCCGCCUCCGCCAUGUCGACGUCGUCGGGGGCCAAGGAGGCGCCGGCCAACAACCCGGGCCUGCAGGCCGAGGUCGACCCCGCCACCAAGGGCUACUUCAUGCAGCAGGCACUUGAAAAGCUCAUAAAUGCUAAUUCAACUGAGGUUGAUUGGGAACGUUCCUUCUAUUUGAAUUUAGUCGCUCACACGUCAUAUACUGUCACAGUGGCAUUGUGCAGUAUCAGCAAUCUUUGCAAUCGUGCAGACAAAAGCAAGCGGUUGCCUCCAAUUUACAAGGUUUCAAAAACUGUAUAUGCAUCCCCUAGCCGUGUAAAUUUCCGCCUUGAUCAAAGAAAGGCUGUAGAGACAGUACCUGCAUAUCCGAACAUUUAUUUCUCAGUUGAUGACAUCGAUGAUCCUUUUGAUGCUGUGGUUUUGUCAGACCCAGAACACUGCUAUUGUGUGAUUCUCAAUGCGCAUGAUGGGGCAGCAUUUCCUGAAGAAAGCGAAUCAAGCAAUGUCGGUUCAAAUAUACAAUCUGGGAUCAACUCUGGGAGCAGUGGAGAGAACCCACCAAAGGUUCACUCUCUUCCUAAAUGA